rnacentral:lncRNA from 1 species
UCCGUAAUUUUUGUAAACGUCAUAUCGAAAGUGGCCAAUAAUGAAUGAUUUGAAAAUAAACCAAUCAAAUAUCUCGAUAGAAAAAGUUUAUUUCAAGAUGGAGAAGGAGCAGAUGGUUUUAUCUAUUUUGAUUAUAUCUUUUAAUUGUUUAUCAUAAAAGCUAACAUUCUGUUUUGCUAAACUUAUCAACAAUUCUUCAUAAGCUGCCAUGUUGAAACUAUCUCCUAAACAUGAGAGCAAGGCUUCCUAUUAUUUGCUGACGGACGCCCAACGUCAUCCAUAUUCAGCAAAAAGUAGGACGGAUCCCUUUUCAGUCUGUUCCGUGAUUUUGCUGUCCGUAAACGGGCUGUUGCUAGGAUACCGGCUACACGGAUCCCUUUUGCUGGACAAAAUCGUACUGCACAGUACAGUGGAAGCCGCU